ACAAAAUCCCUAAAUUGGAGAAUUGAAAUCCCCAACUUCUUCCCCCUUCUUCCUCUCGGCGGAGACGCCGCCUCACCUGGUCGCCGGAUCGCCGCCGGCUUCAGCUCCUCGGCGGCACGGAGUCGCCGACGGUUGGUGCCAGCGAGUCUCGCCGUCGCGCGAGGUUUCGGAAACGGCGCCUCUAUCCAACGCCGCCAUCCGCCUCCGGCGGCGUCCCUCUCUGUCUUGCUCACUCCACCGCCGCUGCUGCCCGCGCGGCGGCUCGCCGUCGCAGCCUUCCAUCUAUCUCUCCCUCUGGUUCCUCCGCGACGCGGCUGUUGUCCGAGAGCUUGGAAGCUGCUCGUCGCGGCCUCCCAUUGCCGUCGCCGACGCUGCUAAAAUCUGCUUUUCAGACCAGCGCCGGCGCCGCCGCCUUCUCGCAGCCCUCCGUCGUUGUCCAGAUCGGGCAGCUCAAGCACAAAUUCCUUUAAAGCUAAGUUCUUUUCACUUCCUUCAUUCCUUAGCAUUUUGUUUAAAAAUUCUGGGCAGUAGCUAUGUGAUUAAAGACUUUAUUGUGGAGCUUAACUCACUGGAAUGAGCUUGAAAAGAUUAUCUUGCUAUGUUAAAUGUUGUUUCUUCGAUUCUAAGAGUUGGAGUUCUACUGGGGCUUUACAAAUCUGCAGUUAUCCUAUAAGUUUGGUUAAGAAACGUUGGUCUCUUGAUUAUUAAAGCUCGUUACUUGCUGUGAGGCUGGAUUUAGUAUGGUUAACACUUGUGCUAUGUGGUGAUUGAUCUAAACAUGAUGCAGAUAAGGUGUUGGGGUGUUGAGGUGUUUACCUCUUGAUGUAGUGAAGGGGUGAGGCUGCCCUUGUUGCUGCUUGAGAUCAGCUCCUAAGGCACCAAGCUUUCUAACUCUCUCUGAAAUUUGCUGGUUAUUUGAGAAGUGUGGGAGGGAGUUCGAAUAUGGUGUGGAGGCCCUUGCUUUAUAGGCUGAUUUUGUGUACCUUAGGGGAGUUAAUGAGGCUGACUUUGGUUGGUUUAUUGCCCAGCAUAUCUCUUGUUCUUGAUCCCAAAGCAGCCUUUUACAUGACACAUUUUGGUGCUACUUGGAGUACUAGAGUUUGACUAAUUAAUUUAGCUUGUUCUCACAUGCUCUCAUAGUACUUUGUUUCAUAACUUCAUUUGUUUGCAAGUUGCAGGCAAUCUCUCACUUCCUUGAUCUCCACUACUCUUGUUUGAAGGAACUUGGUGUUUUGCUAAGGACAAAGGGCUUCUCAUAUACUUAUUUUGGUGGUUUGUGUGGCUAGGAAAAGCUGAUGUGCAGGCUGUUUUGGAGGUGAGUGCAAGGCAGAUUUGGCUUUCCACAUUUGGGUAGGUCCUUAGUCCUUUAUCACUAAGGUGGGUCACCUUGGCUGUUUGAUGUUCGCGGGCUCGGCCCGUCGUUCGGCCGGUGGGUUGCUCAAACGGGCCACGAUUUGGGCCUGAGGAGGAAGGCCCGAAUAGCAUCUAAAUUUUAUUUUCUUUGUUUUCUUUCCUCGAAGCCUUGAUCCACAUAUUGUAGUAUUUUUGACAUUAGUUGUUCGUCUGUUGUAUUAGAAAUGUUAUUCGAAAAUUUCAUGAUAUUCUACAAAUGUAAAUUUCCAACUUCUUAGUUCAA